UACGGAGGGUGCGAGCGUUGUCCGGAAUCACUGGGCGUAAAGGGCUCGUAGGCGGUUUGUCGCGUCGGGAGUGAAAUCCACUGGCUUAACUGGUGGCUUGCUUUCGAUACGGGCAGACUGGAGGUAUGCAGGGGAGAACGGAAUUCCUGGUGUAGCGGUGAAAUGCGCAGAUAUCAGGAGGAACACCGGUGGCGAAGGCGGUUCUCUGGGCAUGUCCUGACGCUGAGGAGCGAAAGUGUGGGGAGCGAACAGG
rnacentral:rRNA from 1 species